rnacentral:rRNA from 1 species
AACGAACGCUGGCGGCAUGCCUAACACAUGCAAGUCGAACGAGACCUUCGGGUCUAGUGGCGCACGGGUGCGUAACGCGUGGGAACCUGCCCUUAGGUUCGGAAUAACUCCCCGAAAGGGGUGCUAAUACCGGAUAAUGUCUUCGGACCAAAGAUUUAUCGCCUUUGGAUGGGCCCGCGUUGGAUUAGCUAGUUGGUAGGGUAAAAGCCUACCAAGGCGACGAUCCAUAGCUGGUCUGAGAGGAUGAUCAGCCACACUGGGACUGGGACACGGCCCAGACUCCUACGGGAGGCAGCAGUGGGGAAUAUUGGAAAAUGGGCGAAAGCAUGAUCCAGCAAUGCCGCGUGAGUGAUGAAGGCCUUAGGGUUGUAAAGCUCUUUUACCCGGGAUGAUAAUGACAGUACCGGGAGAAUAAGCUCCGGCUAACUCCGUG